AUUUCCCCAAUGGGUUCUCCGGAUUUCUGGAGACUUGUAGGGGUUGUGGGAUUUUUGAUGUGUCGUCUCCGGACGGGCGGUGCAGGGUAGUCGAGCUAGACUUGGUGGAAUUCCGUCGAUAGGAGUUCCGUCGAGUCUGGUCGGCUGUGUGUUGGACGGUGUAGGGUAGGCUGCUUGGACAUGGUCGGUUCGAGGAUCGAUUCGAGGGGCCGGCCUGUCGAUGAUGUGUGAUGUAUGCGGUCUAGGGUAGGCUGGUUUGUCUUGGUUCAAUUUGAUGUCGGCUCCCGUGCAGGCCAGAGUGAGGGGGUCCAGGGUAGGUACAGGGUAGGCAGCUUAGGUUUGGUCGAUCUGGAGGUCGAUUCUCCGGCUGGCGGAUCUGACACUGUCGAAACGAGAUGCGAGCGGUGUAGGGUAGGCUAGUUUCGUCCUCGCCAGGUUGCGAUUUGGACGAGAUGUGUGGUUUAGGGUAGGCUCUAGGGUAAGUAGAAUUCGAGUUUCGUCGCCGACAGUUUUCUGUGGGUGUAUGGUAGGUACAGGGUAGGCAAAUCUCUCUCCGGCCAGUACUUGUCUGGUGGUCGUGAGUCGAUUUUUUUGUUUU
rnacentral:misc_RNA from 2 species